rnacentral:lncRNA from 1 species
AAGGAUAAGAGGUGGAGGGGAGAGUUCUACUGGUGAGCAUGUAGACUUAGCCGUUUGUUUUCAGUUAAGUAUAAUAACCUUGGUAUUAGCCAUGCAUGUGUCCCUGAGUCCCCAGCCUCUUCUAGUUCUUUUGUUCCCCUCCAUUGCCCCUCCAUCCCCCCACCAGAAAGAAAACUUAUUUUCUGCUAGCAUGGCGUUAGGGAAUCUUAGGAUGUCAUGAUACUUCACAGAGAUUCCUAACUGAUCCCCGUCUUCAGUCCCAUCCUGGCCUUCCAAGACACCUGUGCCUCCAGUUUGUGAGCCUCCAGGGGCAGAAGCCCUUUUGUGUCUUCACUGGCAUCCCCGUCUGAGCACUUUGGUGAUUAUUUUCUUGUGUCUGCAUGUUAGCCCUUUUGUGUCUUCACUGGCAUCCCCGUCUGAGCACUUUGGGGAGUCAAGUUGUUCUCUCUUGGCAUACCUCAUGGUCACAUGGCUGGAGUCAUCUGAAAGGUUCCCUUAUACGUCUGUGAUUAAUACUUGCUGUCAGUGUGAACACCUACAUGUGGCCACAAAGUAAGAUUCAUUGAGUAGUACUGUAGCUGCAUUUUUAAAAGAGCUAAUUUUAUGCCUAUAAUAACUUUCAUAAUUAUAUGUGUUAGAAUA